GCUUAACCGAGGAAUUGCAUCGGAAACUGUUUUUCUUGAGUGCAGAAGAGGAGAGUGGAACUCCAUGUGUAGCGGUGGAAUGCGUAGAUAUAUGGAAGAACACCAGUGUCGAAGGCGGCUCUCUGGUCUGCAACUGACGCUGAGGCUCGAAAGCAUGGGUAGCGAACAGGAUUAGAUACCCUGUAGUCCAUGCCGUAAACGAUGAGUGCUAAGUGUUGGGAGGUUUCCGCCUCUCAGUGCUGCAGCUAACGCAUUAAGCACUCCGCCUGGGGAGUACGACCGCAAGGUUGAAACUCAAAGGAAUUGACGGGGGCCCGCACAAGCGGUGGAGCAUGUGGUUUAAUUCGAAGCAACGCGAAGAACCUUACCAGGUCUUGACAUCUAGUGCCAUCCUAAGAGAUUAGGAGUUCCCUUCGGGGACGCUAAGACAGGUGGUGCAUGGCUGUCGUCAGCCCGUGUCGUGAGAUGUUGGGUUAAGUCCCGCAACGAGCGCAACCCUUAUUAUUAGUUGCCAGCAUUAAGUUGGGCACUCUAAUGAGACUGCCGGUGACAAACCGGAGGAAGGUGGGGAUGACGUCAAGUCAUCAUGCCCCUUAUGACCUGGGGCUACACACGUGUUACAAUGGGCAGUACAACG
rnacentral:rRNA from 1 species